rnacentral:rRNA from 1 species
UAUCAGUCAUGCAUAGCAUAUCAAUAAGCGGAGGAAAAGAAACUAACAAGGAUUCCCUUAGUAACGGCGAGUGAAGCGGGAAGAGCUCAAAUUUGAAAUCUUCAAGGUUUUACCUUGACGAAUUGUAGUUUAAAGAAGUGUUUUCUGUUGAAGUUUUGGUAAAAGUUCUUUGGAAUAGGACAUCAUAGAGGGUGAGAAUCCCGUAUUUGACCAUUACUUUCAGCUUUGUGAUACACUUUCAAAGAGUCGGAUUGUUUGGGAAUGCAGGUCCAAAAUGGGUGGUAAAUUUCAUCUAAAGCUAAAUAUUGGCGAGAGACCGAUAGCGAACAAGUACCGUGAGGGAAAGAUGAAAAGAACUUUGAAAAGAGAGUUAAACAGUACGUGAAAUUGUCAAAAGGGAAGCGUUUGACACCAGUGUUGUUUUCUCGAAAAUCAAUUAAAAAGAGUUGGAUUUUGUGUUGUAUUGACUUUAUCAGCUUUCUUCACUCUUUUCCAGCUUUUUUUAAUGCACUUUUCGUUUAACAAGUCAACAUCAGUUUCUUUUGUUGUAAAAAGGUCAUUGGAAGGUGGCUUUCUCUUCGGAGAAAGCGUUUAUAGCCUUUGACUCAUGCAAUCGGAGAGACUGAGGUCUGCAGCGUAGAUCCUUCGGGGUUAGAUACAUUUGUGCUAAGUUAUAGCUUUUCAUAGACAACUUGUUGACUAUGUUUAGUCUUGUAGCUUACUCGCUUAUGCUAUUUUACCUACGCUUAGGAUGUUGAACUCUAUCACACACAG